CACCAGACAAUAGUAAGAUUGAGUCGGUUAAGUUAUGUGUAAGUAUGUGCAUUGUUACAUGUUGUGCUUUUCCAAACCAUUCAGUGCAUUUGCAUCAUCUUUCAAGAACCUAAUCAAGCAUGUAUUAUCUUACUGCAAAUACAAAUGACCACUGUCUCAUUUAGCAUGGGAAAAAGAACGGAUCAUGACCACAAGCAGUACUGGACAAGCCUGAGCCAAGCAGAGUUCGCCAGACCAGCAGUGACAAUGUGUAACCCCUGGAUGACCACCAGAAACUUGGAGCUGCACAUCCCUCAGAAAUAACAAUUGUUACCACUGCAGAGUGCAGCUUGCCAUCACUCCUGCUUGUGAAAACACAAAGCCCUUCUGCCACGGUGGGAUUUCUGGACCAUGGCACGUACACAGACCUGAAGGGCAAUGGUCAGCAGUCACCCUUCAGCCCUUAAUAAUCUUUAACUCUCCUAUUCAGCGCCUACACACGGAAAAGCCUACAUC
rnacentral:lncRNA from 1 species